AAAUAGAUAAAACAGAGAAAAAGAGGAAAUUGAAAGGAAGAUCUACACCAAAGUUGACAAGAAGAAGAAAAAGAUUUGGUCAAGAGUCUAAAGAUUUCAUUAGGUGACUUGAUUAUAGUGAAUCAUUGAGAAUGUCAGUCUUCUUCCCAGAUGUACAACAAGGGGACUAGAUACAUCGAUGAGGACAUGAGAAUAAGUCGAGGCUUUGAUAACAUUAUCUUUGUGCACAUCUGAGAAAUGUAGCUACGUCAGGAUAUUAAAAAAAUACUCUCACGUUCUAUCUCUCAACUUUACAAAUUUACAGACGCGUUUUUAAAUCUCUCAAAGCCUAAAAAAUACAAACGACUUCUUAAACUCCUUUUAUAGCUCACACAGUUCCUAAUCCUUGUUGUUGUAUUUAGAUAAGUUCAAACUAGAGCUGUCAAUUGGUCGGGCCGUCCGUUGGGCUAGCCCUGUCCAAGCUUAUAUGGGUGGUCCAUGGUCGGGCCCAAAUAGCACAUGGUCAGUUGGGCCAAAAACCAAUUCACUCCGUGGGCAUAUUGGUCUUAGACCAAAUGGACAUUGGGCUACCCAAUAUAUCUAAUUUCUAGGGUUUCUAAUUGCUUAAUUGGGGGAAAAUUAGAAAUUGAAGAGAUCGUGAAGCUUUCUCUUGCGAUUCUCGUC